rnacentral:rRNA from 1 species
GACGAACGCUGGCGGCGUGCUUAACACAUGCAAGUCGAACGAAAAUACCAAGCUUGCUUGGUUGAUUAGUGGCGAACGGGUGAGUAACACGUGAGUAACCUGCCCCUUACUUUCCUGGAUAACUGCUCGAAAGGGUAGCUAAUACGGGAUAUUCUGACCAGCCUGCAUGGGUUGGUUUGGAAAGGUUGUUUUUCUGGUAAGGGAUGGGCUCGCGGCCUAUCAGCUUGUUGGUGGGGUGAUGGCCUACCAAGGCUUUGACGGGUAGCCGGCCUGAGAGGGUGGACGGUCACACUGGGACUGAGAUACGGCCCAGACUCCUACGGGAGGCAGCAGUGGGUAAUAUUGCACAAUGGGCGCAAGCCUGAUGCAGCGACGCCGCGUGAGGGAUGAAGGCCUUCGGGUUGUAAACCUCUUUCGUCAGGGAACAAGGCACUGCUUUUUUGGUGGUGUUGAGGGUACCUGGAUAAGAAGCGCCGGCUAACUACGUG